rnacentral:lncRNA from 1 species
ACAUUUAUACAUCACCAGUAGAUUAUAAUAUAAUAUUUAAAAAAUUAUUUUCGCACUUAUGGGUAUAAUAUGGCUCGUAUUUUGUUAGUUCAAUUUAGCACAUGCAUAUAUAUUAUUAUCGAAACUAUACAAAUACGGACGGCGGUGUGCACCAGUGUAUAAUAAUAUGGCUAUAUUAUUCGCUACGUAGUCUGCUUCUUGUGUGGGAUUCGACGAGCAGACACACAUUUGUUCGUCGACAAACUGUCAAACGGUUGAUACCACACCUUUGACCACGCAUAAUAUGCCAUAUGGCAUAUCGGACUAUACCGUUACCACCACGACAUCGUUAUGAACAUGUACUCAACUAAUUUGAACGCGUUAACUGCAUAUUGAUAUACGAUGGUUUGCGUUAUUGCGUUACGAAAGUCGAUAAGUAAUUAAUAAUACCAUUUAUCUGUAUUAAAACGAUAUUAUAAUAAUUGCUGUGCAUCAUGACAUCAAUUGCCGAUGGUAAAUUGGAUCAGUAAUAUCGAAUUAAAUUGGCAAUCGUUUUAUUGGACGUACGAACGUCGAAGUAAUAACGUUAGUUGGGGACGCUGGACGGAGGGUCGAUAUUUUAUGCACGCUUUUGAUUGUCUCUGCUUGAUCGAUCGUGAUGGAAAAAAAUAAAUCAAAAGAAGACGCGAAGUCCGCGUGUCUCAAAAGUACUCGGCCGGUACAUUUGGAUAAAGAUAUCAAAAGUUUCGAAAUAGCAAGUUCCAAAUAUUUGAUAACCAAACCAGUAAAUUUGGACGAAGCUAUCGAAAUUGUCGGUAAGUUAUAAUUUGUUUUAAAUUUAAAUAGGUACCUUUAUUUUAUAUAAUUAUUGCACUAAUUUUUAUUGAUUUGUAUAACCAACCUGAUUAGUUAUAACACACGAUUGUAUAUUAUUAGCUGCAUUAAUAUUACGAUCUUUACUUAAAUAAAUGUAUGCAUGGAGUGGCGGAUAAGUGUAUUUAUUUUUAACAUGGAACAUUUUUAAGUGUCCUAAAGUUUCAGAACCUCCCAAUUUUCUAGUGAGCCUAUAACUACGCAUAUUAAAUUAAUCGUUUACGGUAAAGCUCAAAAAUCAACUGACUUUAGCGCCUCCGCUACCAACACCAAAUGAUUUUAAAUAAUUAAAUCUAUAUAUAUAUAAAUGAAUGUAUGUGUCCAUAU